rnacentral:tRNA from 1 species
GUGUCUGUAGCCUAGUGGUAAAAGGCAGCACUCUGGAUGCUGAGGUUGUGGGUUCAAAUCCCACCAGACACA